rnacentral:rRNA from 1 species
UACAGAGGGUGCGAACGUUGCUCGGAAUUACUGGGCGUAAAGCGCAUGUAGGCGGAUCGAUAAGUCGGGCGUGAAAUCCCCAGGCUCAACCUGGGAACUGCGCUCGAAACUGUAGGUCUUGAGUGUCGGAGAGGAUGGCGGAAUUCCUGGUGUAGAGGUGAAAUUCGUAGAUAUCAGGAGGAACACCGGUGGCGAAGGCGGCCAUCUGGACGACAACUGACGCUGAGAUGCGAAAGCGUGGGGAACAAACAGG